rnacentral:tRNA from 1 species
GCAGUGGUGAUUCAGUGGUGGAAUUCUCACCCUCCAUGUUGGAAACCCAGGUUCGAUUCCUGGCCAAUGCA